UCAUGGCUGCAGAGUGGCGGCGGGGAGGGGGGUGAUUAAAAGGAAACCGCACCAUGGGACAUGGUGCCUGUGAGCUUAGCAACAUCCCUGCAGCACAAAGCAAUACCUGUAAUUCCUCAACACAGAUUCAUAUUGGUGACCAAGUGACCACAAGAGAUGAAUGCCCUACUGUUUGGAAAAGCACUGCAUGCCAGGGACCCUGUAAUUAGAAGCAGAGCGGUAGCUGAGCCCACAGGCGGAGGAGCGAGUCUUCCACAUGACUCAGCGGUUCAGAGGGAAGCCCAGAGUUCCUCGGGUUGGUGUCACUUAUGAAUCCUGCAGGCCUGAGCAGCGGGGUCACAGUGUUCAGGUACGCAUUUGCAGAACUUCAUUUUGCGUAGACCGGGAACAUCGGAUUUAUUACAUUUCUAAUGCCACAUCAAACGAUGACAGAUUUAAAUUAUUAUUCAGGUUGUUCAAGUUUAUGUGGGGAGGAGAACCAUUUUUCUUUUCCAUCCUCCCUCAUGCCAAAUGUCACUGAAAAGCAUUUGACUUGCUGUCAGAAUGCCAGGGAUCUGACAGAUUAACAGUGGGCAAGAACAUGCAUGUAGACUGAAAGCAGGUGAGUCAGCCACAAAAGUAAACCAAAUCAAACCAAUGUUUAGUCUUGCAUCAGUCCUUGGGAAAUAAUGAAGGGCUAGACUUAGGAUAAUGGCAGAAAUAUUUAAUUUACACACUUGCCCUGGGGAGGUUGAACGGUGCUUAAGAGAUAUUUUCAAAAUUGCAAUAAAAAUGCAUUUGUUAAUGACAGUUCUGCUUGAACCAUAGCUGUAGAUUUUGAAGGAAGUCAAGAAUUUGCAGUUUUUAAGGUUUUAGGCUAUUACAGGAAAGACAAAUGUGAUUCUAGCAUUUAGCCUAUUUUCCAACCUUCUGACGGUACCCUUUAGGCCUCUGGAUAAAACGAAGAACAUUUCUGUCGCUUCAUAUUUUAAUCCAAGUGACUGAGCUUCAGAUUGAGAAUAGAGAAAAGCCCAUCAGCAUUUGGGAAUUGACAUCAAUCAUUUGGGACUGAAAUAUUUCAGUCAAAAGAAAUACACCACUGAAAGCAAUCAAUAUUCUGUCUACCAAACUGCACUGUGAUGAGCUCUGCAUUAUGACAACAUACCUGACCAGACACCAACAAGAUUAUCUGAAUCAAAUAAUUUCCCAAAUAACUACAUUUCACACAGACACGGAUGCUUGUUUACGACUCAAUUGCAUGUGCCCCGUCAUUUAUCUUUGCGCUCCACAUGGAGUCCAUUUCUAUUUCAUGCAUCUAAGCAGUACUAGCCACUGUAAUAAAAUGCCUCUCCAGCCAUUACAAUUGAACUUCAGAGGCAUUUGGUGAGAAAACAACCAUACACUUCUGUGUAAAGUUGUUUGAGAAGUUAGUUGCGCUAGUUCAGACUUGGCUAAACAUUUGUUACAGUACUAACAUGGCCAAUUCUACAGAUUUAUGGCCUAAGCAGUUUUAAAAAUUAAGUUACAAAAUACAAUAUUUUUUUAGAUAAGUUAACACGUUAUCAGUUUCUAGCAUAAAAAGACUAUUAAAUGUGACAAACAAAAUAGCAGAGUCCGGACUAGGUCUAAGCCUGAUUACCAACAAGAUGGGAAGCAAGUCCGACAUAUCACAUCAAGCUAUGGAAAUUAACCUAAACUUAAAAUGACUUUUCCAGAAUGGUGUCCCCAUUUGGCCCCCCAACACAUUGAAAUCUGUCCUUGUAAUGUCCCACAGCAUUCUCAAAACCACAGGGUGGAUGUUAAAAACUAGUUUAUAAUCCUGACCAGCCCAAGAUCAUUUCUGUCUAAAAGCUUGAAAUGUGUGCAUACUAUACUGUAAAAUUAAUGGAAGCCUAUUUUGAAAAGGUGUAGCGCUGUUCAUUAGGAGGAAAACCAAAUCAAUAAACCGCUGGCAAUAUUCA